rnacentral:sRNA from 1 species
AUUGGCGGAGGUUAACCUAAAACCGUCACGUCCUAUGACAGCGAUUAACUGACCUGUAUCACACAGG